CGCCAGUUAGCCUAGUGUUUAAGGCUUUGGAUCGCCAAUCCGGAGACGGCGGGUUCGAUUCUCGUUCCGGUCG
rnacentral:tRNA from 1 species